AAGUCGUAACAAGGUUUCCGUAGGUGAACCUGCGGAAGGAUCAUUAGUGGAUGGUUACAUGCGAUGCCCUCUGCGCGUGAGCGGUGGGGGGUGUUGGUGGGUGGGUGAGCGGGUAGUUUGCUGCUGCGACGAGCGGAAGCGAGCGAGUAGUUUGCUGCUGCGACGAGCGGAAGCGAGCGAGUGCUUUGCUGCUGCGACGAGCGGAAGCGAGCGAGUAAAAAGAAAGAAACAUGGCGUGUAGUAUAUGCGCAGAGUAUCACUUUUGACAAUGGAUCUCUAGGCUCCC
rnacentral:misc_RNA from 1 species